rnacentral:lncRNA from 1 species
UUGAGACGCGUGGCUAACUACGUGGAGAGUACCAGCUUCUUUUGGCUUCUCGAUCUUGGAUUCGUGUUAAGUGGUUCUUUACACGUGUUAUGUACCCAACUAUUGAUUUUUAGGAAAAAUGGUAAAAUACUCUUUGCCGACUCGGGAAAUCUUUAAAGAAGACAGACUUCAAAUCAAACACAUACGUAUGUUAAUGUUAAAAAAAAAAAA